UCAUUUUAUGUAUUUUUCCACUAACUUAGAAUUGUUGAAGUAGCAUGGUAAACCAGAAGAACAAGAUCUAAUACAAUUCCAGUAGACGAGAUGACGAUGUGAAAUCGCGCCCUAAAAGUGGAAGAAUUAUUGAACCAAAGAUUAAAGUAGCUCGUACUCGCUAGAAAAAAACCGUAAAUCCCAAAACAAAUUUCAAGUUCAAAAGUCAUAUCAACGUCAGGCUGAUCCCUGUCUACAUGAGACUGUAUCUGUAAAAGAAUUCAGUAGGCUAUUCAUGUCGACCUCCACAUUUGAAAAAUAUUGCGGAAUCCCUCAAGUUACCUGCCAGAACACUGUGAUGAUUCCGAUCAGCAAUCCAAUCACCGCUGUGAUACGGAAUCUAAGUCGAAAAAAUCUUGUUGCCUGUGACGGACUAGACGGUACGUAGCAUUUGUACUCCAUGAAACGAGUUUUGAGAACCACUGAAUGGGUACAAACACUGUUUUUGAUCUGUCCUUCUCAACUUUUCUUUCUACUAAGGAAGCGGAAAGCCACACACCGGUGACCACAGCAUCCCAAUCAUGACAGCAAGUGAAAAAGAAAUGACCAAACCAUGAAGGACGCCCACUAUAGAGAACAUCAUUGGUGUGCUUCCACGUCGCACCACCAUCAAGACGUCACUAAAUUCAGCACCUAAAAUCCCACACAUGGCUACAUCGAGUCACAAGUCGAAGGGGAUAGUAGAAGAAGACUGCCAUGUCCAGUAAUAAGUACCCUAUUAGUGUAACUGAAAAACACGUGACGGCACUAAUAAAUAAAGACAAAUUUAAUACAUUGAUUUAAUAUCUGUUUCAGGUCACACCUACAACUUUCUUGAAUAGGCUUGAAUUGACCAAAGAACAAGUGCUGACAGCACUGCAGCAUAAAGACACAUUGUUAGUCCGUUCAUGGUGGCAGGAAACCAAGGAUUAUACGGUACGUCAUGAGAUCCUUCUUGCUCUUGAUAUGCCGUAACCAUCGAUAUCU